rnacentral:rRNA from 1 species
UACAGAGGUCCCAAGCGUUGUUCGGAUUCACUGGGCGUAAAGGGUGCGUAGGUGGCAAGGUAAGUUUGAUGUGAAAUCUCCGGGCUUAACCCGGAAACUGCAUUGAAUACUAUCUUGCUUGAGGGUUGGAGGGGGGACUGGAAUUCGUUGGUGUAGCAGUGAAAUGCGUAGAUAUCGUGAGGAAGACCAGUGGCGAAGGCGGAUCUCUGGACAGUUCCUGACGCUGAGGCGCGAAGGCCAGGGGAGCAAACGGG